UGCGUAGGUGGGUCUGUAAGUCAGUGGUGAAAUCUUCGAGCUUAACUCGGAAACUGCCAUUGAUACUAUAGGUCUUGAAUCAUCUGGAGGUGAGCGGAAUAUGUCAUGUAGCGGUGAAAUGCUUAGAUAUGACAUAGAACACCGAUUGCGAAGGCAGCUCACUACGGAUGUAUUGACACUGAGGCACGAAAGCGUGGGGAUCAAACAGGAUUAGAUACCCUGGUAGUCCACGCCCUAAACGAUGGAUACUCGACAUUUGCGAUAUACUGUAAGUGUCUGAGCGAAAGCAUUAAGUAUCCCACCUGGGAAGUACGAUCGCAAGAUUGAA
rnacentral:rRNA from 1 species